GACGAACGCUGGCGGCGUGCUUAACACAUGCAAGUCGAACGGAAAGGCCCUGCUUUUGUGGGGUGCUCGAGUGGCGAACGGGUGAGUAGCACGUGAGUAACCUGCCCUUGACUUUGGGAUAACUUCAGGAAACUGGGGCUAAUACCGGAUAGGAGCUCCUGCUGCAUGGUGGGGGUUGGAAAGUUUCGGCGGUUGGGGAUGGACUCGCGGCUUAUCAGCUUGUUGGUGGGGUAGUGGCUUACCAAGGCUUUGACGGGUAGCCGGCCUGGGAGGGUGACCGGCCACAUUGGGACUGAGAUACGGCCCAGACUCCUACGGGAGGCAGCAGUGGGGAAUAUUGCACAAUGGGCGGAAGCCUGAUGCAGCAACGCCGCAUGCGGGAUGACGGCCUUCGGGUUGUAAACCGCUUUCGCCUGUGACGAAGCGUGAGUGACGGUAAUGGGUAAAGAAGCACCGGCUAACUACGUG
rnacentral:rRNA from 1 species